AGGUUAAGUUGAAGAGACGGAGCCGCAGCGAAAGCGAGUCUGAAUAGGGCGUUUAGUACGUGGUCGUAGACCCGAAACCAGGUGAUCUACCCAUGUCCAGGGUGAAGUUCAGGUAACACUGAAUGGAGGCCCGAACCCACGCACGUUGAAAAGUGCGGGGAUGAGGUGUGGGUAGCGGAGAAAUUCCAAUCGAACCUGGAGAUAGCUGGUUCUCCCCGAAAUAGCUUUAGGGCUAGCCUUAAGUGUAAGAGUCUUGGAGGUAGAGCACUGAUUGAACUAGGGGUCCUCAUCGGAUUACCGAAUUCAGUCAAACUCCGAAUGCCAAUGACUUAUCCUUAGGAGUCAGACUGCGAGUGAUAAGAUCCGUAGUCAAGAGGGAAACAGCCCAGAUCGCCAGCUAAGGUCCCAAAGUGUGUAUUAAGUGGAAAAGGAUGUGGAGUUGCUUAGACAACUAGGAUGUUGGCUUAGAAGCAGCCACCAUUUAAAGAGUGCGUAAUAGCUCACUAGUCGAGUGACUCUGCGCCGAAAAUGUACCGGGACUAAAUACACCACCGAAGCUGCGAAUUGAUACCAAUGGUAUCAGUGGUAGGGGAGCGUUCUAAGUGCAGUGAAGUCAGACCGGAAGGACUGGUGGAGCGCUUAGAAGUGAGAAUGCCGGUAUGAGUAGCGAAAGACGGGUGAGAAUCCCGUCCACCGAAUGCCUAAGGUUUCCUGAGGAAGGCUCGUCCGCUCAGGGUUAGUCAGGACCUAAGCCGAGGCCGACAGGCGUAGGCGAUGGACAACAGGUUGAUAUUCCUGUACCACCUCUUUAUCGUUUGAGCAAUGGAGGGACGCAGAAGGAUAGAAGAAGCGUGCGAUUGGUUGUGCACGUCCAAGCAGUUAGGCUGAUAAGUAGGCAAAUCCGCUUAUCGUGAAGGCUGAGCUGUGAUGGGGAAGCUCCUUAUGGAGCGAAGUCUUUGAUUCCCCGCUGCCAAGAAAAGCUUCUAGCGAGAUAAAAGGUGCCUGUACCGCAAACCGACACAGGUAGGCGAGGAGAGAAUCCUAAGGUGUGCGAGAGAACUCUGGUUAAGGAACUCGGCAAAAUGACCCCGUAACUUCGGGAGAAGGGGUGCUUUCUUAACGGAAAGCCGCAGUGAAUAGGCCCAAGCGACUGUUUAGCAAAAACACAGGUCUCUGCGAAGCCGUAAGGCGAAGUAUAGGGGCUGACACCUGCCCGGUGCUGGAAGGUUAAGGAGAGGGGUUAGCGUAAGCGAAGCUCUGAACUGAAGCCCCAGUAAACGGCGGCCGUAACUAUAACGGUCCUAAGGUAGCGAAAUUCCUUGUCGGGUAAGUUCCGACCCGCACGAAAGGUGUAACGAUUUGGGCACUGUCUCAACCAGAGACUCGGUGAAAUUAUAGUACCUGUGAAGAUGCAGGUUACCCGCGACAGGACGGAAAGACCCCGUGGAGCUUUACUGUAGCCUGAUAUUGAAUUUUGGUACAGUUUGUACAGGAUAGGCGGGAGCCAUUGAAACCGGAGCGCUAGCUUCGGUGGAGGCGCUGGUGGGAUACCGCCCUGACUGUAUUGAAAUUCUAACCUACGGGUCUUAUCGACCCGGGAGACAGUGUCAGGUGGGCAGUUUGACUGGGGCGGUCGCCUCCUAAAGUGUAACGGAGGCGCCCAAAGGUUCCCUCAGAAUGGUUGGAAAUCAUUCGUAGAGUGCAAAGGCAUAAGGGAGCUUGACUGCGAGACCUACAAGUCGAGCAGGGACGAAAGUCGGGCUUAGUGAUCCGGUGGUUCCGCAUGGAAGGGCCAUCGCUCAACGGAUAAAAGCUACCCCGGGGAUAACAGGCUUAUCUCCCCCAAGAGUCCACAUCGACGGGGAGGUUUGGCACCUCGAUGUCGGCUCAUCGCAUCCUGGGGCUGUAGUCGGUCCCAAGGGUUGGGCUGUUCGCCCAUUAAAGCGGUACGCGAGCUGGGUUCAGAACGUCGUGAGACAGUUCGGUCCCUAUCCGUCGUGGGCGUAGGAAAUUUGAGAGGAGCUGUCCUUAGUACGAGAGGACCGGGAUGGACGCACCGCUGGUGUACCAGUUGUUCUGCCAAGGGCAUAGCUGGGUAGCUAUGUGCGGAAGGGAUAAGUGCUGAAAGCAUCUAAGCAUGAAGCCCCCCUCAAGAUGAGAUUUCCCAUAGCGUAAGCUAGUAAGAUCCCUGAAAGAUGAUCAGGUUGAUAGGUUCGAGGUGGAAGCAUGGUGACAUGUGGAGCUGACGAAUACUAAUAGAUCGAGGACUUAACCAU
rnacentral:rRNA from 2 species